GACGAACGCUGGCGGCGUGCUUAACACAUGCAAGUCGAACGGAAAGGCCCUGCUUUUGUGGUGUGCUCGAGUGGCGAACGGGUGCGUAACACGUGAGUAACCUGCCCUUCACUUUGGUAUAACUUCAGGUAACUGGGCCUACUCCCAUAUAGGAUCUCCUGCUGCGUUGUGAGGGUUGGAUCGUUUCUGCGGUUGGGGAUGGACUCGCGGCUUAUCAGCUUGUUGGUUGGGUAGUGGCUUACCCAGGCUUUGACGGGUAGCCGGCCUGAGAGGGUGACCGGCCACAUUGGGACUGAGAGACGGACCAGACUCCUACGGGAGGCAGCAGUGGGGAAUAUUGCACAAUGGGCGGAAGCCUGAUGCAGAAACGCCGCGUGCGGGAUGACGGCCUGCGGGUUGUAAACAGCUGUCGCCUGUGACGAAGCGUGAGUGACGGUAAUGGGUAAAGAAGCACCGGCUAACUACGUG
rnacentral:rRNA from 1 species